AUGCUCUGCCUACAGUGUAGCCAUUCUUGAUCCCUUUACUUUCCUAAUAAACUUGUUUUCACUUUAUAAACUUGCCCUGAAUUCCUUCUUACAUGAGAUCCAAGAACCCUCUCCUGGGGUCUGGAUCAGGACCCGUUUCCAGUAACAUCUUUCUGGUGAAUCCCAGGUGGAUGAUACUGAAGAGACCCCCAACCCAAAGGAAAAUCAUCUGCAUGCACCAGUUGACUGACUUUGGGGCUAUGGGUGACAGGAUAAGGCAUGUACAGGACCACAGGACAUGGGGAGCUUUUUCCUCCCCCGAAAAAGGGAAACUUGAGAGCUGAUGGGACUGCCAGAAAACAUCCCUUCACUACCGACAAGUGGCCACCUGAACUUUUUAGUUUCACUGCAAUAGGAUACAACUGGAGAAACUGGUUAUUUUACCAAGGCUUUGACUGGAAUGGUGUGUUUACCUUUAAGGAAUCAAACUUGACUUAGAGAGCCAAGAAGAGCCCCUUGAAAAAAACUAGCCUCAUACCUUGUCUACACAGUCCCUGUACAGGGUUCCUGACCUGUGGUAAGUAAAGAAUGUCACCUUCUGAAAGGCCCAGGAGCCCCAAGUUAUUUUGGGACCUCAAGAGGAGAAGAAUUUACUCAACUCAUAGAUAUCUGGGGUACAAACCCAUGGCUAGGCUUGGCUUUAAAAAAAAGUCUUAUCUGAGAUUCCCUCUAUGGAACAAAAUUUCAUCAAAGACAAAUUUAAAAGCCUAUGUGAAAAAUAAUUAUUCUUGCUGCACUGUAUACAAAUAAUCAGGCCAAGUAUAAUAAAGCAAAUUAGUCUUACUAUGAUUUGUCUCCAGCAAAAAUGGGAAACUAGAGAACAAUUAUGUUUCAAGAACUGUGGUAUAACCUGUUAUUAAGUUCUAGUCUCAUCAGUUGAUUUUAAGGUUUUUUUCUGUAAUUUAGGCCAACCCUGUUUAUUCCUGUGAACCAACCAGUGAUCUCUUGACUGCUGCUCAGAAGAAACAACAGGGAUGGAUAUCAUCUUUUGUCAGAACUCGGAGUCAUGAACGGCCCUUGCCAUACCAAUGCUUUCUGACUGAGCUCCUCUCUAUCUACCCUGAAUGCAAGAGACCCAAUAGUUAGGCAGGAAUGGCAUUGCCCCUAUCAGCUUGAAGAAGUUACAGAAGAUGCAUCUUUAUCCCUCUGCAACCCUUAGGAUUAAGGGUUUUCUUAUAAAAGGGACGGGGGAAAUGUUAGAGGUGUUUGAACCAGAGCAACUCCAUCUUGAAUAGGGGCUGGGUAAAAUGAGGCUGAGACCUAUUGGGCUGCAUUCCCAGACGGUUAAGGCAUUCUGUGUCACAGGAUGAGUUAGGAGGUCAGCACAAGAUACAGGUCAUAAAGAUCUUGCUGAUAAACAGGAUGCAGUAAAGAAGCUGGCUAAAACCACCAAAACCAAGAUGGUGAUGAGAGUAAACUCUGAUCAUCCUCACUGCUACACUCCCACCAGUGCCAUGACAGUUUACAAAUGCCAUGGCAACGUCAGGAAGAUACCCUAUACGGUCUAAAAAGGAGAGGCAUGAAUAAUCCACCCAUUGUUUAGCAUAUCAUCAAGAAAUAACGAUAAAAAUGGGUAACCAGCAGCCCUCGAGGCUGCUCUGCCUAUGGAACACCCAU
rnacentral:lncRNA from 1 species